UACAGAGGUCCCGAGCGUUGUUCGGAUUCACUGGGCGUAAAGGGUGCGUAGGCGGCUUGGCAAGUCGGGUGUGAAACCUCUAGGCUCAACCUGGAGACGCCACUCGAUACUGCUAUGGCUAGAGUCCGGUAGGGGACCACGGAAUUCCGUGGUGUAGCGGUGAAAUGCGCAGAUAUCAGGAGGAACACCGGUGGCGAAGGCGGUGG
rnacentral:rRNA from 1 species